CCUACGGGUGGCUGCAGUGGGGAAUAUUGCACAAUGGGGGAAACCCUGAUGCAGCGACGCCGCGUGAGUGAAGAAGUAAUUCGUUAUGGAAAGCUCUAUUAGCAGGGAAGAAAAUGACGGUACCUGAGUAAGGAGCCGCGGCUAAAUACGUGCCGGCAGCCGCGGCAAUGUGUAGGGGGCAAGCGUGAUCCGGAUUUACUGGGUGUAAAGGGAGCGUAGAGGGCAGUGCAGGUCUGGAGUGAAAGGCGGGGGCUCAACCCCCGGACUGCUCUGGAAACUGUCAGGCUGGAGUGCAGGAGAGGUAAGUGGAAUUCCUAGUGUAGCGGUGAAAUGCGUAGAUAUUAGGAGGAACACCAGUUGCGAAGGCGGCUUACUGGACUGUAACUGACGUUGAGGCUCGAAAGCGUGGGGAGCAAACAGGAUUAGAUACCCGAGUAGUC
rnacentral:rRNA from 1 species